rnacentral:rRNA from 1 species
UGCUAUGGCCUGCUACCCUGAACAAGCCCAAUCUCAGAAGCUAAGCAGGGUCGGGCCUGGUUAGUACUUGGAUAGGAGACCACCUAGGAAGACUAGGUGCUGUAGGUG